UGUGAUGCUGUGUGGUUUCUGUCACGUACACACACACAGGCACACUCAUGCACACACCCCCUACCUCCCUGCCUACAUUCCACCCAGCCUGACUGCUCUGGAAGGAAGAAUCCCUGCAAGGUGAGUGUUAUUAUAUCCAUUUGUGGACCAGGACUGCGGCUCAGAAGCUUUUCCCAGGACACUGAACUCUGACAGGUGAAUAGCUGCCAAGUGGUGGAGGUUGGCCUGCAGUGAGCAUCAGUCUGACUUCGAAGGACAGAAUGACACAUGGUACAAGCUUUCUGUCUUACUGCCACACGUCAGUGUCCUGGGAGAUGAACCAGAUGCAGCUCCCUGAUGAAUGUGGGAAUAAAAAUUUAUAUCAGAAUCGACACUGGUUAUAAUGUGAAUUUAUGACAUUACUUGAGAAUAUUCAAUUCUGCUGUAGAGGACAAAAAAAAUGGAAUAAUGAAAUCCAUCAUAAACCCUGGGCAUAGUUGGUAAGUAAGCAGGUACCUUAUGCGAUAUAGGCAAAACUUAUAGGAUGUAUUAAGUAUAGAUAGAGAGUAAUGUAGUAUAUACUGAGGCAUGUUAAAGAUAAACAGAAUGCAUGAAAUAUAUGCUGGAACAAGGAAGAAUAUUAUAGAUAGAAAUGUCAAGUCAUAUGUCUUGAUCAUUCUAUCUCUAGGCUGACAGCUCAGUCAUCUCUAGAUGAGCCAUUCAUUGGUAACUCAAUAUGGUCUCAUUCUGAGUUUCACAUGAACUGUGCUAAAAAAAAAAAAUGCAGAUAAAACCUUUCACUGUUCAGUAAGUGAAUUGGCCAGGGGGUCCUUGUUUCUUAUCUUAGUCCAUUUUCUGCUGCUAUAACAGAAUAACCUCAGAUGGGAUAAUUGAUAAAGAAUAGAAAUGUAUUUCUCACAGUUCCAGAGGUUGGGAAGUCCAAGGUCAAGGGGCCCAGAUCCGGUGAGGGUCUUGUUACUGUCAUAGCAUGGUGGAAGGGCCAGAGAGAAAGUUGGAGAGAGAGAAUGGAACUCACAGCCCCCAGCCCUUUUAUAAUCCACAUUAAUCCAUUCAUGAGGAUGGAACCCUCGUGAUCUAAACACCUCCCAUGAGGCCCCACCUCCUAACACUGUGGCAUCAGGGAUUGCAUUUCCAGCACAUGCUUUUUGGGGAGCACAUUCAAACCAUAGCAUCCCUGCAUCUCUCUGACAUAGCAAAUGUGUGUCAUUGGCCCAGCAGGCCUUCUGUCUGUGGGCCCCCUUGCUCAAACCUCAACUCUGGUCUCCUGACCACACUGUUAGUGUAGAGAAAGACAGGACGUUUGGAGCUUGCAUAGUCCAGAAGUCAAGAAGCGGUUGCUGUCACCUGCCUGCAACCCAUCCUUACGAACUGACUCUAUCUCCUUCCCCUUGCUUUUCCCUGUGUGUUUUAAAUUAAUUUAAUAAACUGUGUGAGGCCGGGUGUGGUGGCUCAUGCCUGUAAUCCAAGCACUCUGGGAGGCUGAGACAGGUGGAUCACCUGAGGUCAGGGAUUCAAGACCAGCCUGGCCAACAUGGUGAAACCCUGUCUCUACAAAAAUACAAAAAUUAGCCAGGCAUGAUGUGGGUGCCUGUAAUCCCAGCUACUCAGGAGGCUGAGGCGGGAGAAUCACUGGAACUCAGAGGCAGAGGUUGCAGUGAGCCGAGAUCGUGCCAUUGCACUCCAGCCUGGGUGGCAGA
rnacentral:lncRNA from 1 species